rnacentral:rRNA from 1 species
UACGUAGGGGCCUAGCGUUGUCCGGAUUUAUUGGGCGUAAAGAGCUCGUAGGCGGUUCGGCAAGUCGGAUGUGAAAUCUCCACGCUUAACGUGGAGGGGCCAUUCGAAACUGCCGUGACUCGAGUCCGGUAGGGGAGUGUGGAAUUCCCGGUGUAGCGGUGAAAUGCGUAGAGAUCGGGAGGAACACCAGUGGCGAAGGCGAGUCUCUGGACGACACCUGACACUGAGGCACGAAAGCUAGGGGAGCAAACAGG